CUCUCUCUCUCUCUCUCUCCAGAGGUAUCAGUCUCUCUCUCUCUCUCUCUCCAGAGGUAUCAGUCUCUCUCUCUCUCUCUCUCCAGAGGUAUCAGUCUCUCUCCAGUAUCAGUGUAUCUUCAGACUUACCCAGCAUCGUUGUCCGUCCUCUUCAGUACUUUGGAGAUGUGAGUCAGACUGUGUCUGAACUGAGAGAGAAACUAGAAGACUUCCUUAAAGGAGAAUGGACCAAGAUCUCCACUACAGUGAAUAUAGUGGAUGUUGUACUGCCUCCAGAGCCCAAGACCAGAGAACAGUUGUUACAAUAUUCCUGUCAGCUCACACUGGACCCAAACACAGCAA